UCUCAGUUCGGAUUGGAGUCUGCAACUCGACUCCAUGAAGCUGGAUUCGCUAGUAAUCGCGCAUCAGCCAUGGCGCGGUGAAUACGUUCCCGGGCCUUGUACACACCGCCCGUCAAGCCAUGGAAGCCGGGGGUGCCUGAAGUGCGUGACCGCAAGGAGCGCCCUAAGGUAAAACCGGUGACUGGGGCUAAGUCGUAACAAGGUACC
rnacentral:rRNA from 1 species